CCAAGUCAACAGUGAUAUCCCAACAUCCAACUAGUUAGAAGGGUUUGGAUUGGUUCGCCCCCUAGACUACCUACAUGGCGCUGGUGGGGAACGAGCUCUUUUGCCCCAGUAGCCUAGAAUAAUAUAAUCAUGAAAUCUGAGACUACUGUAGUGGAGAAAUCGUGCCUUAACCCUUCCAGUCCUCUGCUUUUCCUGCGUUAUCGUGUUCUUACCAUCUCCUUGACCCCGGCCUCGAGACCAAUGCCUGUAUAGCAAGUCAAGUUCCCUUCGGCGUGCAUAUGCUUAAUGAGGAUUAGCCUUCAAUAAAUGACACACAAGUAUCGUUCCCUCAUCU
rnacentral:sRNA from 2 species